rnacentral:misc_RNA from 1 species
AAGUCGUAACAAGGUAACCGUAGGUGAACCUGCGGUUGGAUCAUUAGUGGUUUUUACGUAGCGCUGUUGUAGUGUUUCUGUGUGGUGUUUGUGUUUGCUUAGGGUGUUGUCUUUUUGUUUGUCUGUUUUUGUGCAUUGCCUUGUGCGAUGUCUUGUGCAGUGCCUUGUGCAUUGCCUUGUGCGGUGCCUGGCAGUACAAACGGAUCGACGGCAACACUCGGACCAGACCCAAGCCCUUGCAGACAAUAGACGUCUUUGCUUGCUUUGAUGAAACCAAAUCAAAAACAACUUUUGACAACGGAUCUCUUGGCUCUC